GUGCAACAGCCUAGAAAUUCUAUGGCAGGUUCUUUCAAUAUGCAACAGAAUGCUAUCAUCAGUACAGUAACUCUGGUGUUUUUAUAUUCACUUCUACUAGUGAGAUACCUGUUUCAUCAUUUCCAGUUUUGGAAAUGCCAGAUGUUUUGCACUGAUAACAUACAGCUGCAACAUGAAAGUUGUCAAGAGUAAGGCUGGAGGAUUAUGAUAGCCAAGGCUUCUGACUUCCGGGGGCGGGAGUUGAAAGCAAUUUAGGGUUGUGGUAUAAAUACAUUUGCUGGGCAUUUCUGUGAAAACUAACAAAGCAGACAUUUUAUAUGUCACCUGUAGAUUUCACACUUCACAUGACUGAUCACGGUGGACAUUUUAUGCUUCUUUUGGUUUCUGACUGCCUCUAGAUUCAGUAGGACAAUGCUACAUCAGCAAAAUACCAUUAGUAAGGUUUUCUUUGCAAUCAUGGAUUUGCCUAGAUUCAGAAGAAAAGCCAGGCUAGUAUUACCUAACAUAUUUACAGGUCAUUUUCCCCCUUAAAACAGGCUCAGAUGGAUACCUUUACUUCUUUGUUAGUCAAAAAACCAAAGUAAAAGCAAUUUAUCCUCCUCCAUGUUAAGAGAGGCUUUAUAGGAAUUAGAUGACUUCAACACAUACAGAGAAUGUUCCCAAGACCAAACAUCUGAGCUGACAAAGCUAGUGAGUGCCAAACAAAUUGCUCAGAUAUACAUGCACUAGAGAAGCUGGCGGUGACGUUGCAGAGAUAUAUCAAGGAGCUGGCAAUGAAAGUGUUAACCAUGACGAAGGAAACUAGGAAUGCGGGUAGUUUGACUUAAGGAUUUCUGGCUGCUGUUAAAACAACAGUUGUUCAGUUGCUGCAGCAACGUAUGAAGUCACUAAAAAUAAGUUCCAAGAGGUAACUGUAUAUGGCAAAGGGCAACAGCACACAGAAAACUGGAUCUGAAAUAUUACUACUGAAAAUACGUUGUAUUCAAAAAUGAAAAGGUAAAGCUUCAUGAAACCUCUAUAAAACGGGACAGUGAAUCAGUGUUUUACUGUACACAGUUCAUAGUAUGUAGGUCCUCAAGCUUAUCAGAUAAACAAGAAAAUGUUAAACUGACUUCGGCUUAAUAAACUAGCAUGAGAAACUGUAGUGUAAUGUCCUGAGCACUGGCUUGGAAGUCAGCAAACUCAGGUUAUGUUCCUCAGCUCCACCAUAGCUUCAGUUUAUGCACGUCAUUUUGCUUCUCUGUUCCUUUACAUGCUUUUGUAAUACUAAUAAUUUAAACUAUAACCUCUUCAUGGUGAGGACUGCUUUUAAACUUAAACUGCCUGAAGAACAGGGUGUUAAUCUCAACUAUGUGAACUCUUAAGUAUUCACAGUAAUAACAAAAAACAUUCCUCCAAGCAGCACUUCUAAAAAAUAACCAUGUCAGCUACUUCCUGGAAAUCAGAUCCCAAAUGACAUAUACACGUUGUGUUAAUACUUAGUUUAAGUGUUGCCAGAAAAUAUUCCAACUGCACCUUUAACUCAUUUCAUUAUUAAUGUCAUUUAUCUAAAGUUAGCAGCGACAUGCUAGUCAGCCUGAAGACCUGCGGUGUGCUGGAUAAUGACAGAAAUAACUAGUCCAUGAAAGUAGGUGGAUGAGAUAAACUGGUUGGGGUCGGGAGAGAAAAGUUACCAAAAACAAAAGGAUGCACUGCAAAUGUUAUCAUGGUCAUUCACAACAGCAAUGACUUUGUUUCAACUACAGAAACCCAAAAUCUCAGAUGGGGCAGUUAGCCAGCAGGCCGUAAAAAUUCAUCCUCUCUAUUCAUGGUAUUUGGCAAGAAGUUACAAAAAAACAAAACCUCUCCAGGAAGUGGAAUGGAAGAAGAAUUUUUAGGGGUAAAGGCCACUCCACAUCUUUUUUCCAUCACGGGAUGGGAGGACAAGCACUGUGUGAAGAACAGCAGGUGUGUGCAUGUAUGGGAGGAGUGUAGUUAUAGGACACCCACAAUUGACUUGAGAGCAGCAGCACUGAUGAGAUAGUAGCUCUUGUUAAAUGAUUACACUGAUGUUUUCUUUGACAUAACAAACCUUGCCUACAGUCUUCAGUGUACCUAAAACUUCCUUUUUAUGGCAGAAGACAAAUCAUAUCUGUAUAUCUGAAAAAAGUACUAUCAGCCAUCCAACAGCCUCAUCCAGACUGCAGUGGAGGUAACAUCCUGUAUGAUCAUGCACAGCAGCAAGCAGAACCGCUGACCUUUAGCAGCUCUGAGGCAGCAAUCCUGUUCAAGAACUGACAUAAUGGAAAAUCCCAAAAUGAGAAGGGAAGAAAAGUGCCAGGCCCUGCUUUUAAAAGCAACAGGCUAUCAACCAAGAAUGGACAGGGUAUUGACAGAACCAGAGGAGUCAGCAAAAGGAGCAAAAGACAAGA